CUUGGAGCUAGAAAAUGGUGAGACCAGGAUUCAGACACAGGUCUGUCUCUGUUUAUGACUGCCUUGAUGUUUAAUUGGUUUUUUCUCUUUUAGAUUAAUUUGUAAAAUGAUGUUUCAGGGGUCUUUGUGCGUACAGGGGGUAACGUCCGCUUUAUCUCACACUUCCCUGGGUCAUAAGGUGUGAGACCAUGUUUUCGGGGACCCGCGAGGGCGGGGAACAGAGAGAGAGACACCAGGAGUGCUGGUGUGCAGAGGAAAGACCACGUGAGGACACGGAGAGAGGGUGGCAGCUUCAACCUGAAGAGAGAAGCCUUGGGAGAAACUGAACCCACCAAUGCUGUGCUUCCUGACUUCCAGCCUCCAGAACUGUGAGAAAAUAAAUUUCUGUUGUUUCAGCU
rnacentral:lncRNA from 1 species